rnacentral:rRNA from 1 species
UACGAAGGGGGCUAGCGUUGCUCGGAAUCACUGGGCGUAAAGGGUGCGUAGGCGGGUCUUUAAGUCAGGGGUGAAAUCCUGGAGCUCAACUCCAGAACUGCCUUUGAUACUGAGGAUCUUGAGUUCGGGAGAGGUGAGUGGAACUGCGAGUGUAGAGGUGAAAUUCGUAGAUAUUCGCAAAGAACACCCAGUGGCGAAGGCGGCUCACUGGCCCGAUACUGACGCUGAGGCACGAAAGCGUGGGGAGCAAACAGGG